rnacentral:rRNA from 1 species
AGCGAACGUUAGCGGCGGGCCUAACACAUGCAAGUCGAACGAGAAUGAGGGGGCAACCCCUCUAGUAAAGUGGCGGACGGGUGCGUAACACGUGGGUAAUCUACCUUCCCGGCGGGGGACAACAGUCCGAAAGGAUUGCUAAUACCGCAUACGUCGACGGGGUCUCCGGAUCCUGUCGGGAAAGAUGGCCUCUCCUUGGAAGCUGUCACCGGAAGAUGAACCCGCGGCCCAUCAGCUAGUUGGCGAGGUAACGGCUCACCAAGGCUAAGACGGGUAGCUGGUCUGAGAGGAUGAUCAGCCACACUGGGACUGCGACACGGCCCAGACUCCUACGGGAGGCAGCAGUGGGGAAUAUUGGGCAAUGGGCGCAAGCCUGACCCAGCCACGCCGCGUGAGUGAUGAAGGCCUUCGGGUCGUAAAGCUCUGUGGGGAGGGACGAACAAGCCUGCGAUUAACACUCGCGGGCCCUGCCG